AAAAAUGCUAUGAUGGGAAGAGUAGAAAAGAUACCUUUUUAACAGGGAGGGGUCCCUAGACUGGAAGGACCCUAAAAAGGGCUUUUCGAACAACAUCCUGGAGCUAUUGGAUCGAAAUGAUUACAGAAACUACGUUUCUUCUAUGAGUAUAUCUAUUUGAUAUUCAGAGUAGGUCCAUAUCCCUGCUAGGGUUACAGCAAAGUGAGUACUUCUUAAGGUGCUAAUUGAGGUGGUACCGCGGGAGCAUAAAUCCCGUCCUCGGC
rnacentral:ncRNA from 1 species